AAAAAUGUGAGCCUAUAACUCAAUGAGUGGAUAUUUGCAAAAAUAUAAUUUUCCAUUCAUAAAAUCUUUCUUAAAAUCGACAUAUAGCAUAAAAUUUCUUUUCACAGACAUAUAAACUAAAUAUUUAUUCUUUAAACUGAAUAGGCUGAGUUCUGUAGCUUAAAAUCUGAUGAUGCAAUCAAAACUAAAAUAUACUGUAAUCAUAAACAUCUUUAUUCUGUAUACUGCAUUUCUAAAAUCUGAUAAGCUAUGUGAUACUGAAACAUCACACCAAAAAUGUACCC
rnacentral:lncRNA from 1 species